UCGAAUCUGUCACUUCGGUAAUUUCGAUUCAAUAAUCACCGGGUGAAAGAUUUGCUU
rnacentral:pre_miRNA from 1 species